rnacentral:antisense_RNA from 1 species
UGUUAUGGCGGUUGUGCGCGGGAGACAUUCGUGUCUGCCGGGUUGCUCUCUCCCGGAUUUCCAGCCCGCGUACAGCUGCCACCCAU